UGGAACCUGCUGUUUGCAGCGGGUCGACCCGGGUCGGGUCGGAACCGGGUCGGGUCAACAGGAUAUAUUUACCCUCUUUUUUUUUCUAUUUCUAUUUUUUCUUCUUUUUCUCUCUAUUUUUUCGGGUUGAAAUCUAGCCCUUUUUUCUUUCGCCGCCGUCGGUGUCUUUUGAGCACGGUGGUGGGACAGGCGCCGGUGCUCUCCCUUCCCUCCUUUCUUCCUCUUCUUCCUUCUCUUCCUUCUUCUUUACUGUUUGGGUUGUUUUUGUCUUUUUGCUGGCUGUUUUUUUUUUGUUUUCUUCUUGCUUGUUUGUGUAGGUGCGACGGUGGUGAGAAGAAUGCCAAGGCAUGGCGGUGGGCACGGUGGUGGUGAAGGCGGUGGUGGCAGAGGAGUCAUCAUGGCCUAGGGAGGCUGCUGGAGUAGCUCGGCUGGGAGGGGUACGCUCGGCUGCUGAUUGCGGGGAUUAGACAAGUGCAGGAGGACCAAAUUGCAGAGGAUGCAAAGCUUCUGGGGCAAAAGUGCAAUUUUAGCAAAAAUAUGGGCCAAAAUGUAAUUUUUGGAAAGUUUAGGACCUUGAACGUAAUUUACAAAAUAUUAGGGGUCAAGAUGCAAAUUUGGAAAAAUUUAGGGGUCAAAAUGUAAUUUUUGAAGAAUUCGGGGGCUAAAAUGUAAUUUAUCUUGUAUUUUUUUGAUUUA